CCUACGGGUGGCAGCAGUGGGGAAUCUUGCACAAUGGGCGAAAGCCUGAUGCAGCAACGCCGCGUGGGUGAAGAAGGCCUUCGGAUUGUAAAACCCUGUUGUUAGAGAAGAAAGUGGGUGAGAGUAACCGUUUACGUUUCGACGUUAUGAAUCCAGAACGGCACGGUUAACUACGUGCGAGCAGCCGAGGUAAUACGUAGGUGGCUAGCGUUAACCGGAUUUAUUGGGAGUAAAGGGAAAGUAGGCGGUCUGUUAAGUCUGAUGUGAAAGCGUUCGGCUUAACCGGAGUAGUGCAUUGGAUACUGGCAGACUGGAGUGCAGAAGAGGUAGGUGGAAUUCCUGGUGUAGCGGUGAAAUGCGUAGAUAUCAGGAAGAACACCGGUGGCGAAGGCAGCUUACUGGACUGUAACUGACGCUGAGGUUCGAAAGCGUGGGUAGCAAACAGGAUUAGAUACCCGGGUAGUC
rnacentral:rRNA from 1 species